AUUCAAAUGCCUUCAGGACCUGGGAAGGCAACAGGAAGCAGGCACUGUGGCCAGCUGUGGACAGACAAGGGUGACAGCCGCUGGGUAGUUUAGCCAAGUGUCAUACACUGGAGGGGAAGAUCAGGAUUAUAACAGAUUGGCAGAUUUUUCUAUGAGAAUGUGGAAACUUGGAUUUGCAUAACUUAGAAAGUUACUCUCGGCUGAAGAUCUGAGAUAGAAAUUUGCACAGCUGAGCACAGUCUGAGGAAGAAUCUCUGUUCAAAGAAGAAUCUAUUAGCCUCAGAUCAGAGCCUGAUUUGGCGAUAGAUGGAAUGAGGAGUCGAGGCCAACUCCCAGCUCUGCAGAGGUUCAUCUGAAGGGGUUACUGGAAAGGAACAUGGAACUAAGGAGCCACCACCAACCGGAAGAGUUCAGGAAAGGUCCAAAGGAGACACCACGUGUCCCACCACCUCCCAGAAUCUUCACUGGAAUUCAUCGUGGCUAAGCAAUGCGUGCACCACCAAGAAGGACCCUGAGUCAGAGUGAUUGGCCAGAGACAACCCAGAAAGUAACUCCAACACCAUAAAACCCAGGACUGCAAGCCGCGUGGCAGAGCAGUCCUCCUAGGUCUCCUUACCCUCCUGCCCCCAACCCAGGCCACCCUUCCCAAUAAAGCCUCUUGCUC